GGAUGCCCUUUGAGCGCAAGCGAGAAGGACAAGCUAUCCAGGCCACGCAAAAUCCGCUUUUUAGAACAUAGAUGGCACCAGUCAGGUGACCAUCGAAACGCAAUACGCCACGGAAAUGCCUUUGGCAUUCGGAUGGUAUGGCGAGCCUCGCCGUCCACGUUUCUCUUUCUUCAAGAAGACAAAAACCGCGUCGACCGGUUUCCCGAAUGGGCCCGUAGCUCAGUUGGUUAGAGCACACGCUUGAUAAGCGUGGGGUCGGAAGUUCAAGUCUUCCCGGGCCCACCAUUUGCUUGAUGCGAAUGAUGGUUUGGGAUGAUGGCAUGGCAGGCGAUGUGGAUUGUUGCCGAACCUUGGGGUUAAGACCUUGAGGCGAUCGAGCUGGAGGGGCUGUAGCUCAGCUGGGAGAGCACCUGCUUUGCAAGCAGGGGGUCAGCGGUUCGAUCCCGCUCAG
rnacentral:tRNA from 1 species